rnacentral:tRNA from 1 species
GCUCCUGUGGCGGAAUUGGAAGACGCGGCAGACUUAAAAUCUGUUUUUCAGUUGUGGGUUCGACCCCCACCAGGAGUACCA